UAAGGAAUAUUGGUCAAUGGACGCAAGUCUGAACCAGCCAUGCCGCGUGAAGGAUGAAGGUCCUCUGGAUUGUAAACUUCUUUUAUCUGGGACGAAAACGGGAUUUUUAUCUCAAUUGACGGUACCAGAGGAAUAAGCACCGGCUAACUCCGUGCCAGCAGCCGCGGUAAUACGGAGGGUGCGGGCGUUAUCCGGAUUUACUGGGUUUAAAGGGUGCGUAGGUGGGCUUAUAAGUCAGUGGUGAAAUCUCCGAGCUUAACUUGGAAACUGCCGUUGGUACUAUAGGUCUUGAAUUAUCUGGAGGUAAGCGGAAUAUGUCAUGUAGCGGUGAAAUGCUUAGAUAUGACAUAGAACACCAAUUGCGAAGGCAGCUUACUACAUAUAAAUUGACGCUGAGGCACGAAAGCGUGGGGAUCAAACA
rnacentral:rRNA from 1 species